rnacentral:tRNA from 1 species
GGGCCGGUGGUCUAGCUCGGUUAGGAUGCUGCCCUUACGCGGCAGAGGUCGCCGGUUCGAAUCCGGUCCGGCCCACCA